GUGGUUCAGUCGGCCAAGGAGAAAAUCCUUCCCGGCCUUCAACUUACUCGCGCCGAACGGUGCUCUCCGUCGUCUUGAAAAUCCGCGUGUCGAUGGUUCGAUUCCGUCCCUGGCCACCA
rnacentral:tRNA from 1 species